GGGGAAUAUUGGACAAUGGGGGGAACCCUGAUCCAGCCAUGCCGCGCGUGUGAAGAAGGCCUUUUGGUUGUAAAGCACUUUAAGCGAGGAGGAGGCUACUCUAGUUAAUACCUAGAGAUAGUGGACGUUACUCGCAGAAUAAGCACCGGCUAACUCUGUGCCAGCAGCCGCGGUAAUACAGAGGGUGCGAGCGUUAAUCGGAUUUACUGGGCGUAAAGCGUGCGUAGACGGCUUUUUAAGUCGGAUGUGAAAUCCCUGAGCUUAACUUAGGAGUUGCAUUCGAUACUGGGAAGCUAGAGUAUGGGAGAGGAUGGUAGAAUUCCAGGUGUAGCGGUGAAAUGCGUAGAGAUCUGGAGGAAUACCGAUGGCGAAGGCAGCCAUCUGGCCUAAUACUGACGCUGAGGGACGAAAGCAUGGGGAGCAAAC
rnacentral:rRNA from 1 species